rnacentral:rRNA from 1 species
UACGUAGGGUGCAAGCGUUGUCCGGAAUUAUUGGGCGUAAAAGAGCUCGUAGGCGGUCUGUCGCGUCUGCUGUGAAAACCUAGGGCUUAACCCUGGGCCUGCAGUGGGUACGGGCAGACUAGAGUGCGGUAGGGGAGACUGGAAUUCCUGGUGUAGCGGUGAAAUGCGCAGAUAUCAGGAGGAACACCGAUGGCGAAGGCAGGUCUCUGGGCCACUACUGACGCUGGAGAAGCGAAAAGCAUGGGGAGCGAACAGG